rnacentral:rRNA from 1 species
UACGUAGGGGGCAAGCGUUGUCCGGAUUUAUUGGGCGUAAAAGGCUUGUAGGUGGCCACGCCAAGUCGGAUGUGAAAUCUCCCGGCUCAACUGGGAGGGGUCAUUCGAUACUGGCGGGCUCGAGGCCGGUAGGGGGAAGUGGAAUUCCCGGUGUAGUGGUGGAAUGCGUAGAUAUCGGGAGGAACACCAGUGGCGAAGGCGGUUACCUGGGGCUUUGCUGACGCUGAUGCGCGAAAGCGUGGGGAGCGAUCCGG